rnacentral:rRNA from 1 species
AAUCAACGCUGGCGGCGUGCCUCAGACAUGCAAGUCGAACGCGAAAGUUUCCUUCGGGGAACAAGUAGAGUGGCGCACGGGUGAGUAACACGUAGGUAAUCUACCUUUGGAUGGGGAAUAACAACCGGAAACGGUUGCUAAUACCGCAUAAUGCAGCGGCACCUAAUGGUGACAGUUGUUAAAGCGGGGGAUCGAAAGACCUCGCGUCUGAAGAGGAGCCUGCGGCGGAUUAGCAGUUGGUAAGGUAAUGGCUUACCAAGGCUACGAUCUGUAACCGGCCUGAGAGGGCGGACGGUCACACUGACACUGAAUAACGGGUCAGACUCCUACGGGAGGCAGCAGUCGGGAAUUUGGGCAAUGGGCGAAAGCCUGACCCAGCAACGCCGCGUGAAGGAU